rnacentral:rRNA from 1 species
CACGUAGGGCGCAAGCGUUGUCCGGAAUUAUUGGGCGUAAAGAGCUCGUAGGCGGUCUGUUGCGUCCGCUGUGAAAACUCGGGGCUUAACCCCCGAGCCUGCAGUGGAUACGGGCAGACUAGAGGUAGGUAGGGGAGAAUGGAAUUCCCGGUGUAGCGGUGAAAUGCGCAGAUAUCGGGAGGAACACCGGUGGCGAAGGCGGGACUCUGGGCCGAUACUGACGCUGAGGAGCGAAAGCUAGGGUAGCAAACGGG